AACGAACGGUCCGCCGUUAGGUGUGCACUGUUUGGUCUCAGCUUCCUGGUGAGGAGGUGUGCUUCACGGCCACUUAGUCACCGUGGUUACUUUGAAAAAAUUAGAGUGUUCAAAGCGGGCUUACGCUUGAAUAUAUUAGCAUGGAAUAACACCAUAGGACUCCUGUCCUAUUUCGUUGGUCUCGGGACGGGAGUAAUGAUUAAGAGGAACAGUUGGGGGCAUUCGUAUUUCAUUGUCAGAGGUGAAAUUCUUGGAUUUAUGAAAGACGAACUUCUGCGAAAGCAUUUGCCAAGGAUGUUUUCAUUGAUCAAGAACGAAAGUUGGGGGCUCGAAGAUGAUUAGAUACCAUCCUAGUCUCAACCAUAAACGAUGCCGACUAGGGAUUGGCGGAUGUUAAUUGAUGACUUCGCCAGCACCUUAUGAGAAAUCAAAGUUUUUGGGUUCCGGGGGGAGUAUGGUCGCAAGGCUGA
rnacentral:rRNA from 1 species